GGUGAGGCACUCAGAUGCUAUGGGGAUGGGGGGGGCAUAUAAGUACCUACGAUACCUACUUAGGACAUCAGCUAAAGUGUUAUUUUUACACAAGCAAAGAUCUGUGGAAUCACAGAAAGGCCUUGUCCUCAUUAGGGAGCUGUAACAAAAAAUCUCAACCAAAUCAGCUAUAGGUACAAUUAGUAUGGUGAUAAACAUGCUGGAAGCCACCAGAGCCCAGCUUACUAAUGCUAUCACUGGUGCAACUGAAUCAGUGGGAGUGUCCGUGGAAAUUGCAGACAAGGCCACUUGGCAAAUUCUGCUCUGAGUUACACUGGUGUGACUUCAGCUGAGUUACACUGAAUUUACACCAAUGUAACUGGCAGCAGAGUUUGUCCCCAGAAGAAUGGUUCUAAUGCUUGGUAUUGUCAUAGCCAAUAACCCACAUUCCCCUCAAGCUCAAUCUUGACUAGACAGUGAUGUUUGUGCUUUUUCUUUCUGUGUCACUACUCGGACUGUCAAGUAUUUGUGAAAAUGAAGAGUUGGGAAGAGGGUUUAUGGAAGGAGAUUAUCAAGCACCGUAAAAUGCUACUUUGUGUCUGUUUUACAGAAGCAGGCCCUGGCAAUGCAGUUUCACAACAAAGAUGAUAUUAUGCUUCAUGUACUUGCUUUGGAUAUCAGUGCCAGUGAUCCAAACCACACCCAUUGCACUGAGUCCAAAGAUGGUCUCAGUGUUACAGGAUAAAACAGUGAGAGCAGUCUGUGUGCAGAACAUCGAAGAAACAGAAGGGUUGGCUAUAACUCUGAGAAGACACAGCAGCUCUGCUGAGCUGUGUAACAUACAGCUUGGAAAUUUCACCAUUUGGCGCAGAAAUUGCACAAACCAUAUAAACCUAGACUACAAUAAGCCGACAACAGGGGUUUGUGGUGUUAUGGAGAGAGUCUCUGUCAAAGGUUCUGGUGUUUACAGCUGCACCUUGGACAAGACAAUCCCUCCUCCUGUGAGAACGCUGAGCCAGUCUCACAUUUGCCUCACAGUGUCAGCUCUUCCAGUGGUUGAGGUUUCUUUGGCCUCUUCUUCACCCAUUGACAAGGAGACCACGUUAACUUGCAGUGCUUGGGACUUCUAUCCUGGAGACAUCCAGCUCUCCUGGAAUAAGGACAGCCAGUUGUUCACUAACUCAACAAGGAAUGACUCUCUGUUCCACAAUAGCAACGGGUCUUAUUCCUAUAGAAGUAACCUUGUUGUUUCCAAAGAUGACUGGAAUGAAUUUGCCCAGUUUUCCUGCCAAGUGAAUCACUCUACACUGAAAAUGCCUGUUGUGAAAAAGCUCACCCUGACCCAGUCUGGUAAAGGUAAAUGUGUAUUGUGCAUUAUGACCUUCUUAGGUGGUACAAUCUACUCACUACGGUCACCUGUAUCCAACAGAAAAUAUGGGUGUAAGAUAAAAAACAUGAUAUCAAAAUGUUCAGCUUGUUUUCUAUUUUGGCUUCAGUACCUUGUUUUAAAGACUCGUACAGAUCACCAUUGGGUCUUUUCUUGUGGGAAUCCUGACUGAGAAUAUGAAGCAGUACACAGUGCAGAAUAGCUCAGAGAUACAGAAAGGUUAUUGUUGAACUGAUCAAUGAAAUUGUUUUUAAUUGUUCACUUUAUUAAUAUAACUUCAUAAUCAAAGUUUUAUGAAUGAAACAACAUUCAUUCAUAA